rnacentral:rRNA from 1 species
GAUGAACGCUGGCGGCGUGCCUAAUACAUGCAAGUCGAGCGAACAGAUAAGGAGCUUGCUCCUUUGACGUUAGCGGCGGACGGGUGAGUAACACGUGGAUAACCUACCUAUAAGACUGGGAUAACUUCGGGAAACCGGAGCUAAUACCGGAUAACAUAUUGAACCGCAUGGUUCAAUAGUGAAAGGCGGCUUUGCUGUCACUGAUAGAUGGAUCCGCGCCGUAUUAGCUAGUUGGUAAGGUAACGGCUUACCAAGGCAACGAUACGUAGCCGACCUGAGAGGGUGAUCGGCCACACUGGAACUGAGACACGGUCCAGACUCCUACGGGAGGCAGCAGUAGGGAAUCUUCCGCAAUGGGCGAAAGCCUGACGGAGCAACGCCGCGUGAGUGAUGAAGGUCUUCGGAUCGUAAAACUCUGUUAUCAGGGAAGAACAAAUGUGUAAGUAACUGUGCACAUCUUGACGGUACCUGAUCAGAAAGCCACGGCUAACUACGUG